rnacentral:rRNA from 1 species
UACGGAGGGUGCAAGCGUUAAUCUGAAUUACUGGGCGUAAAGCGCACGCAGGCGGUCUGUUAAGUCAGAUGUGAAAUCCCCGGGCUUAACCUGGGAACUGCAUUUGAAACUGGCAGGCUUGAGUCUUGUAGAGGGGGGUAGAAUUCCAGGUGUAGCGGUGAAAUGCGUAGAGAUCUGGAGGAAUACCGGUGGCGAAGGCGGCCCCCUGGACAAAGACUGACGCUCAGGUGCGAAAGCGUGGGGAGCAAACAGG